rnacentral:lncRNA from 10 species
CUCCCUGGUACCAUACCCCAGCCGAUGAGUAUGUACCCCCAGAAGUACUUCCGCUCAGAGAAGAAGGAGACGGCAAGCAGGGUGUACAGGGAAGGCCUCCCUCUCCAGGACUCCUUUAGAUUUCCCCAGCAUCCAGACCUCACCUGCCUAAGUGCUGUUGCCCUGGAAGCCACAGUGAGCACGAGCUCCAUCUUGCACCUUUACCAGCCAAUGGGGGUAAAGACAUUAGCUGAAAUACUUCUAAGGGGCCAGGCGUGGUGACUCAUGCUUGUAAUUCCAAGCACUUUGGGAGGCUGAGGCAGGUGGAUCACCUGAAGCCAGGAGUUCAAGAGCAGCCUGGCCAACAUGGCGAAACCCUGUCUCUACUAAAAAUACAAAAUUUAGCCAGGCAUGGUGGCGGGAGCCUGUAAUCUCAGCUCCUAGGGAGGCUGAGCCAGAAGAAUCGCUUAAACCUGGAAGCUGGAGGUUGCAGUGAGCCAAGAUCACACCACCACACUCCAGCCUGGGUGACAGAGCAAGACUCCAUCUCAAAAAGAAAAAAAAGAAAAAAAG